CUACAGUCCCGGAAACGGAUCGCGUUGGGUGAAGGUGACGGCGUCGAGCGUGGGAGACAAUGCCUUGGAACUGCAAAUCUUCUCUGAGUCUGAAGCAUCCUGCCUGACGCGUUUGCUCACAUUGACCCGUGCCUUCCCUCAGUCCCUCUCAUCUCUACUGAGAUUCCGUCUCACCCUGACCCUGUGACAUGAACUUCUGAAGAGUCCACUGGGCAUGGUCCUGGGAAGGGCUCACACCCAGACAUGGAUGGAGACGGGAUCUGUCUCGUAACUGUGUAAUCAAGGAACUAGCACCACAACAGGAAGGUAACCCAGGAGAAGUAUUCCACACAGUGACAUUGGAACAACAUGAAAAACAUGACAUUGAAGAGUUUUGCUUCAGAGAAAUCAAGAAAAAAAUACACGACUUUGACUGUCAGUGGAGAGAUGAUGAAAGAAAUUGCAACAAAGUGACUACGGCCCCAAAAGAAAAUCUUACUUGUAGGAGAGACCAACGCGAUAGAAGAGGUAUAGGAAACAAGUCUAUUAAACAUCAGCUUGGAUUAAGCUUUCUACCACAU
rnacentral:sRNA from 1 species